GGGCCUAUAGCUCAGUUGGUUAGAGCGCUCGACUCAUAAUCGAUCGGUCGCAGGUUCGAGUCCUGCUAGGCCCA
rnacentral:tRNA from 1 species